rnacentral:SRP_RNA from 1 species
CUCAGGCGUGGUGGUGCACGCCUGUAGUCCCAGCCACUCGGGAGGCUGAGGUGGGAGGAUCGCUUGAGUCCAGGAGUUCUGGGCUGCAGUGCGCUAUGCCAAUCGGGUGUCCGCACUAAGUUCGGCAUCAAUAUGGUGACCUCCCGGGAGCGGGGGACCACCAGGUUGCCUAAGGAGGGGUGAACCGGCCCAGGUGGGAAACGGAGCAGGUCAAAACUCCCGUGCUGAUCAGUAGUGGGAUCGCGCCUGUGAAUAGCCACUGUACUCCAGCCUGGGCAAUAUAGUGAGACCCCGUCUCUC